CCUACGGGAGGCAGCAGUGAGGAAUAUUGGUCAAUGGCCGUAAGGCUGAACCAGCCAAGUAGCGUGAGGGAAGACUGCCCUAUGGGUUGUAAACCUCUUUUAUGCGGGGAUAAAGGUGUCCACGUGUGGCUGUUUGCAGGUACCGCAUGAAUAAGGACCGGCUAACUCCGUGCCAGCAGCCGCGGUAAUACGGAAGGUCCGGGCGUUAUCCGGAUUUAUUGGGUUUAAAGGGAGCGUAGGCCGGUCUUUAAGCGUGCCGUGAAAUUUUGUGGCUCAACCAUGAGAGUGCGGCGCGGACUGGAGACCUUGAGUGCGCGGAAGGCAGGCGGAAUUCGUGGUGUAGCGGUGAAAUGCUUAGAUAUCACGAAGAACCCCGAUUGCGAAGGCAGCCUGCCGCAGCGUUACUGACGCUGAAGCUCGAAAGCGCGGGUAUCGAACAGGAUUAGAUACCCUUGUAGUC
rnacentral:rRNA from 1 species